rnacentral:rRNA from 1 species
UACGUAGGAUCCGAGCGUUGUCCGGAUUUACUGGGUGUAAAGGGCGUGUAGGUGGGUCUCUAAGUCGGUGGUGAAAGCCCGCAGCUUAACUGCGGAAUUGCCAUUGAUACUGGAGGUCUUGAGUACGGCAGAGGGAAAUGGAAUUCAUGGUGUAGCGGUGAAAUGUGUAGAUAUCAUGAAGAACACCGGUAGCGAAGGCGGUUUCCUGGUCCGUAACUGACACUGAGGCGCGAAAGCGUGGGGAGCAAACAGG